rnacentral:tRNA from 1 species
GGAAGUGUAUGCAAGUGGUUAAAGCUGGCAGACUGUAAAUCUGUCCUCAUCGAGUUCGUAGGUUCAAAUCCUACCGCUUCCCCCA